AAACUGCAUUCUAAAGAGUACUUUAUCCCUCUCGUCGCUACAAUUAUUGCCAAUUCAAACGAACAGUAUUCGCAAAAUUUCAGUAAAUGAUGGUUGCGAAAGUGGAAGAUAGUGAACGUUUUCCUUUAUCCCUGUGACUUUUUUACGUGUUGUACUUGACAAAGUGAUUUUGGCAGCUUUAAAAUGCAGUUAAUACUAACGUUAUUUUAUAUUACGUAUUCAUUGGCUUAUGAACCACCAGCACCUGUAGUUCACACUUCCCUUGGAAACAUUCGAGGAUACCACACAUUUUCGCUUGAGGGUCGCAGAUUUUCGGCAUUUGAAGGUAUUCCUUAUGCACAGCCGCCUAUAGGACAUCUCCGAUUUGAGGUAUCCAUUCAUGGGCUUCAACUUGAUUGAGGCUUCUAAUUUUUUUACAAUUAAUAUCUCACGUUGGUGAACAGUAAUAGAAAUGGGAACUGAAAUUGAUGUUGAUUCAUGAUUCAAAUAUAGAUAUACAGGG